rnacentral:rRNA from 1 species
CCUACGGGUGGCAGCAGUGGGGAAUAUUGGGCAAUGGGCGCAAGCCUGACCCAGCAACGCCGCGUGAAGGAAGAAGGCUUUCGGGUUGUAAACUUCUUUUCUCAGGGACGAAGCAAGUGACGGUACCUGAGGAAUAAGCCACGGCUAACUACGUGCCAGCAGCCGCGGUAAUACGUAGGUGGCAAGCGUUAUCCGGAUUUAUUGGGUUUAAAGGGAGCGUAGGCCGGCUUUUAAGUCAGCUGUGAAAGUCCGUGGCUCAACCGUGGAAUUGCAGUUGAAACUGGAGGCCUUGAGUGCACACAGGGAUGCCGGAAUUCAUGGUGUAGCGGUGAAAUGCUUAGAUAUCAUGAAGAACUCCGAUCGCGAAGGCAAGUGUCCGGGGUGCAACUGACGCUGAGGCUCGAAAGUGCGGGUAUCAAACAGGAUUAGAUACCCCAGUAGUC